rnacentral:rRNA from 1 species
AGCGAACGCUGGCGGCAGGCCUAACACAUGCAAGUCGAGCGGGCACCGCAAGGUGUCAGCGGCAGACGGGAGAGUAACACGUGGGAACGUGCCCUUCGGUUCGGAAUAACUCGGGGAAACUCGUGCUAAUACCGAAUACGCCCUUACGGGGAAAGAUUUAUCGCCGAUGGAGCGGCCCGCGUCUGAUUAGCUAGUUGGUGAGGUAAUGGCUCACCAAGGCGACGAUCAGUAGCUGGUCUGAGAGGAUGAUCAGCCUCACUGGGACUGAGACACGGCCCAGACUCCUACGGGAGGCAGCAGUGGGGAAUAUUGGACAAUGGGCGCAAGCCUGAUCCAGCCAUGCCGCGUGGAUGAUGAAGGCCUUAGGGUUGUAAAGUCCUUUUAACGGGGAAGAUAAUGACGGUACCCGUAGAAUAAGCCCCGGCUAACUUCGUGCCAGCAGCCGCAGUAAGAC